GCUGGGUGCUGUGGCCACGCCUGUAAUCAGAACUACUUGGGAGGCUGAGGCAGGAGGAUCAUGAGUUCAAAGCCAGCCCCAGAAAAAAGUGAGGUGCUAAGCAGCUCAGUGAGACCCUGUCUCUA
rnacentral:sRNA from 1 species